AUUGAACGCUGGCGGCAGGCCUAACACAUGCAAGUCGAGCGAGCGGCGGACGGGUGAGUAAUGUAUGGGGAUCUGCCUGAUGGAGGGGGAUAACUACUGGAAACGGUAGCUAAUACCGCAUACCAUCAGAUGAACCCAUAUGGGAUUCGCUAGUAGGUGAGGUAACGGCUUACCUAGGCCACGAUCCCUAGCGGGUCUGAGAGGAUGAUCAGCCACACUGGGAAUGAGACACGGCCCAGACGCCUACGGGAGGCAGCAGUGGGGGAUAUUGCACAAUGGGCGAAAGCCUGAUGCAGCGACGCCGCGUGGGGGAAGAAGGCCUUAGGGUUGUAAAGUACUUUCAGUCGGGAGGCGUUACCGACAGAAGAAGCACCGGCUAACUCCGUGCCAGCAGCCGCGGUAAUAC
rnacentral:rRNA from 1 species